rfam:Oryza glumipatula chromosome 8, whole genome shotgun sequence.
UUUAAAUGUCACUUAUGGGUUUUCGUGUCCAACGUUUGACCGCUCCUCUUAUUUGAAAUUUUUUUAGAUUAAUAUGUUCAUUGUUAUUAGAUGAUAAAACAUGAAUGGUACUUUAUGCAUGACUUAUUUUUUUAAAUUUUUCAAAUAAGACAGACGGUUGACACGACAAUCCACAACUGCACUUAAA